rnacentral:rRNA from 1 species
GACGAACGCUGGCGGCGUGCUUAACACAUGCAAGUCGAACGGAAAGGCCCUGCUUUUGUGGGGUGCUCGAGUGGCGAACGGGUGAGUAACACGUGAGUAACCUGCCCUGGACUUUGGGAUAACUUCAGGAAACUGGGGCUAAUACCGGAUAGGAGCUCCUGCUGCAUGGUGGGGGUUGGAAAGUUUCGGCGGUUGGGGAUGGACUCGCGGCUUAUCAGCUUGUUGGUGGGGUAGUGGCUUACCAAGGCUUUGACGGGUAGCCGGCCUGAGAGGGUGACCGGCCACAUUGGGACUGAGAUACGGCGCAGACUCCUACGGGAGGCAGCAGUGGGGAAUAUUGCACAAUGGGCGGAAGCCUGAUGCAGCAACGCCGCGUGCGGGAUGACGGCCUUCGGGUUGUAAACCGCUUUCGCCUGUGACGAAGCGUGAGUGACGGUAAUGGGUAAAGAAGCACCGGCUAACUACGUG